rnacentral:rRNA from 1 species
UACGUAGGGCGCAAGCGUUAUCCGGAAUUAUUGGGCGUAAAGAGCUCGUAGGCGGUUUGUCGCGUCUGCCGUGAAAGUCCGGGGCUCAACUCCGGAUCUGCGGUGGGUACGGGCAGACUAGAGUGAUGUAGGGGAGACUGGAAUUCCUGGUGUAGCGGUGAAAAUGCGCAGAUAUCAGGAGGAACACCAGAGUGGCGAAGGCAGGUCAUCCUGGG